AUUGAACGCUGGCGGCAUGCCUUACACAUGCAAGUCGAACGGCAGCACGGACUUCGGUCUGGUGGCGAGUGGCGAACGGGUGAGUAAUAUAUCGGAACAUACCCUAGAGUGGGGGAUAACGUAGCGAAAGUUACGCUAAUACCGCAUACGAUCUAAGGAAGAAAGCGGGGGAUCUUAGGACCUUGUGCUCGUGGAGUGGCCGAUAUCUGAUUAGCUAGUUGGUGGGGUAAAGGCCCACCAAGGCAACGACCAGUAGCUGGUUUGAGAGAACGACCAGCCACACUGGAACUGAGACACGGUCCAGACUCCUACGGGAGGCAGCAGUGGGGAAUUUUGGACAAUGGGGGCAAGCCUGAUCCAGCAAUGCCGCGUGAGUGAAGAAGGCCCUCGGGUUGUAAAGCUCUUUUGUCAGGGAAGAAACGGUGGUUCCUACUACGAGCUGCUAAUGACGGUACCUGAAGAAUAAGCACCGGCUAACUACGUGCCAGCCGCCGCGGUAAAAC
rnacentral:rRNA from 1 species